AGGGGACAAGAAGGCAGAGCAAAGAGAGACUACUACUACCUUAUGACUUAGUAAGCAAUUACUAAGUUCUGAAUCCGAGAGAGAUCUGAGCCUGAGAAUAAGUUGUGGAAGAGGAGAAUCCACAGGAAAUCACUGGGAUGGAAGACUGAGGCGGAUCAAGAUUUGAUCGCUCAAAACAUAAAAUGACCAAAGAUUUACCUCAAGUCUUCCCCAGUCUCCCACCCCACUAAUUUCCUGAAGAUUAAGCUCCCUUUCCCUCUCAUUCCUCUUCUUGCGAUACAAAUAUGAUCAUCGACUACUCUCUCUCUUUUUUUUCCUUUUCCUUUUCCUUUCCUGCACAGAAUUUUAUGAACAAGUGAUGGGGUGUAGUAAGAGUAGAAAAAGGAAAGGAAGAAACUCU
rnacentral:lncRNA from 1 species